CAAAUAAAAGUACUUGUAUUGUAUAAACAAAUUACAAAUAUACGAAAUCAAAACGACAGAGUAAACACGUGAUUAAAGGAAACAUAGAACCCGAAUAUCAGUAUCAUAUUCAAAUAAUUUCGUUGUUAUUGUCCAUCCAUUAUCAAUAUAGUCAACGUGAUAUAAUUUCGAAUAUUAAUUCAUCAAUCAUGCCCAGAAUAAACUGGAAAAACUCACCAUUUGCUGAACUCGAGAAAAAAUUGAACCAACGAAGCAAUAUCUUGAGACGAAAUGUUGGCAAACUGACGGCGGAAGAAAUUGACAAAUAUUUCCCGAAAGGUAUAUGUGGAUUUGAAGGCUGUGAAACAAAACUGUCAAAUCUCAGUUGCUUGAAAAGACACAUCGAAAUGAAGCAUACAGCACUUUAUCAACAAUUAACAUCCGACGAAAUCGCUGGUCCAUCUAGCCAGGAUGUCGCUGGUCCAUCUAGCCAGGAUAUCGCUGGUCCAUCUUGCCAGGAUAAUUAAACAAUCGAAAAUUUUUAUUUACACAAAAUUACUGCGAGUACUCACGAUUAUUGCGUGUACUACGACUAUAUUCCACACAAAAAAUACUUUUUUUACUAUGUAAUCUUUUUUUUGAAAUAAAAGGAAAUGAACAAACAAA